UCAAUAACCUCAUCAUGACAUUUCACUGUGUUUCAAAUGAUGACAAUGCAUUUAAGACCUUCAAUGAGUUAAAAUGUGAAAGUAGUGUCAUCACUGAAGACACCUUAUUAUAAAGGAAAAAAAAAUCAAUGCAACCAUCAUGUUCUACACAACUUCCUGUACAAGCCACAUUUCUUCAUUAUGAGGAAUAGAAAAACUCUCCCAAGGAGCCCGACAUUUCUGAAUUUGUCCAGGUUUUCUGGCAGGCAGGUCCAGCCCAACAAACAUUGAAAACAUUGAAAAGAAGAAUUGCUGAGAAGAAGUUUUUCAUUAUUGUUUUAUUGUUUGAUACAAUUAGCUCCAGCCAUUGAUAGCUUUAUAUUCUGCCAUCAAAAUAAAGCCAAUUCAACAUUUUUUUUUUCUCAGUGAAAGGAAAGUGACCCUUUGCCACAUUGAUCAAUGAAUUGAAAUAAUUAGUAACGGUGAAAAUCAGGAUUCACUCUGCUAUAUCAAUCCUUGCAACUUUUAGUUAUUUUAU